CUUGUUUUGUUCUCAAGAGUUGCACGGAGGCCUUAUAAGGCAUCUUUGUGCGUGGGGGGGGGGGGGCACCCUCCUCCUCCUCCUCCUCCCACCUGCUCACCCUCCAAGUGGACGUGUACACGCACAUGCAGAGAGGCACUUCUUCAAAAUGACGGUGGAGAGGAUAUUUGACGAGCUGGGACAUUUUAAAAGGUUCCAGGCCUGCGUGUACUUUGCGGCCGCCUUCCAGGCCGUGACUUGCGGGAUCCACUACCUGGCUUCCGUCUUCCUGGUGGAGACGCCCAACUUUGUGUGCGGCCCUCCAGCCAACGUCACGCACGUCUUGUUUGGCAACCUGAGCGGCUCCCGCGUGGAGGACCUGCUGCCCUUCUUCAAAGCGGACGCGGCGGGGCCCUUGGUGGCGAGGACCCUCGGCGGCGAGCAGUGGGAGUUGAGCCGCUGCCGGCGGGCCCUGCGGAUGGGCCCAGCAAUGGCGGGCUUCGCGUACGCCUAUGACGGCAACAAAUCGCUGGAGUCCUGCCACGGGGCUUUUGCGUACGAUCGCAGCCAGGUGCACGAGAGCAUCGUGAGCGCCUGGGACCUGGUGUGCGAGCGGGCCUGGAUGGCCAAGCUGUGUCAGCCCACCUUCAUGCUGGGGGUGCUGAUCGGGGCGCUGGUGUUCGGGGACAUGGCCGACAGAGUCGGUCGAGUCAAGAUCCUGAUGUUGACCAGCCUCUGCCAAUUUGGACUCGGGGUGGCCGUGGCCUUCUCGGCCAAUUACUACUACUUUGUGGUCUUCCGCUUCCUCCUGGCCAUGGCGUCCAGCGGCUACCUGGUGGUGGUUUUUGUGUACGUGACAGAGUUCACCGGCAUCAAGGUCCGCACGUGGACCUCCAUGCACGUCCACGCCGCCUUCGCCGUGGGCAUCAUGGUGGUGGCUCUGACCGGCUACCUGGUGCGCGUGUGGUGGAUCUACCAGAUCAUCCUGUCGCUCUGCACCUCCCCCUUCCUGCUCUUCUGCUGGAAGCUCCCCGAGACGCCCUUCUACCUCAUGGCCAAAGGCAGGUACGAGGAGGCGCAGAGCCUGCUGGACGCCAUGGCCCGCGUCAACGGUGUGGAGAGCCGGCUGAAGGUGGAGGAGCUCCUGGAGGAGGAAGAGGAGCGCAAUGGCGGCGGCGGAGCGCUGCUGCGUGAGAAGGAGGAGCAGGAGGAGCGCUCUCCGGAGAAGAAACUGUCCAUCCUGGAUCUGUUUGGCAGCUGGAGGAUGGCGGCCCGCUCGCUCACCGUGUGGGCCAUCUGGUUCAUCGGCAGCCUGGGCUACUACGUUUUCUCGCUGGGAUCCGUCAACCUGGGGGGGAACCAGUACGUCAACCUCUUCCUGGUCGGUGCCGUGGAGCUUCCUUCGUACCUGGUGGGCUGCUUUUCCAUGGACCGCAUCGGGCGCAAGAAGACGUGCGCCCCCGCCCUGCUGCUGGCUGGGUUGGCUUGCAUGCUCACCAUCGUGCUUCCCUCUGACAUCGAGGCCCUGGCCAUCACCCUCAGCAUGAUCGGAAAGUUUGCCAUCGCCAUCGCCUUCGGUCUCAUCUAUCUGUACACUUGUGAGCUUUACCCCACCAUCAUCAGGUCUCUGGCGGUGGGUAGCGGCAGCAUGAUGUGUCGCGUGGGUAGCGUGGUGGCGCCGUUCUGCGUGUACCUGGCCGACGUCUGGAUCUACCUGCCUCAGCUCAUCGUGGGCAUCCUGGCGUUUGUCAUCGGCAUCCUGACCUUGAUGCUGCCCGAGACGCUGGGUGAGCCCCUGACGUCCACCCUGGAGGAGGCCGAGGCGCUCGGACGAAGCCCCGGCAACAAAAGGAAAGAUGGCGCACGCGGGCUGGAGAUGAACCAGCGCGUGUGAGCAACUACAAGAAGCCGGCAGUACACGUAUCGACAGCAAAUUGGGAUCACAGAUGGAAGGUAUAGGUGCAAACACACCCAAAAAAGAUAGAUAGAUAGAUAGAUCCACGUCAUUUUUGGUUUAAAUGACAGCUAUAAAGUCAAAGAAAAAUGUCAAUAUUUUGUAGGUCGAAAUACACCCAAGUAUGCGUAAAUAUCCCGCGUUUAUACGACUACCAAAUAUGAAUGAAUGAAUUCAUUCAUAGCGUUAAAUGACAUGAGAUGUCUUUGAAAUAUUCUCAGGGUGAAUGUAAUGUACGUAAUGUCUUACUUGAACGUUCCACUUAAUAGCGUGGUGUCCCACAUGAAUGUAUCGUACGCCGGCCGACAUGCGUAUUUUGCAAACUUGUAUUCUCGUGCCCCCACGUGGGCAAGGUGCGUGUGGGCGGGCGGGCGGGCCACAAGGAUCCGGCAACAAUUGUGUCCCGUCUGUAUGAUUUCAUUCACCCUAACCAAGAUGAAAUGUGUGGACCAAAACACGUAGAGCAGGGGUGUCAAACUCAUUUUUGUUGCGGGCCGCAUCAUCGUCAUAGUUUCCUUCAGAGGGCCAUUCUGACUGUCAACCCAAAUACAUCAAUGUAUGAACGCCUCAUAUUAUACA